rnacentral:rRNA from 1 species
GAUGAACGCUAGCGACAGGCUUAACACAUGCAAGUCGAGGGGCAGCGAGGUGGUAGUUUACUAUAACUGUCGGCGACCGGCGCACGGGUGAGUAAUACGUAUGCAACCUGCCCGUUGCAGGGGGAUAAGCGGAAGAAAUUCCGUCUAAUACCGCGUAAUACGUGCCUGAGGCAUGGCGUGGCCAUGAAAUAAAUUCGGCAACGCAGGGGCAUGCGGCGCAUGAGCUAGUUGGCGGGGUAACGGCCCACCAAGGGGACGAUGCGUAGGGGUUCUGAGAGGAAGGUCCCCCACACUGGUACUGAGACACGGACCAGACUCCUACGGGAGGCAGCAGUGAGGAAUAUUGGUCAAUGGGCGCGAGCCUGAACCAGCCAAGUCGCGUGAGGGAAGACGGUCCUACGGAUUGUAAACCUCUUUUGUCGGGGCGCAACAAGUCACGAGUGACGUAAUGAGAGUACCCGAAGAAAAAGCAUCGGCUAACUCCGUGCCAGCAGCCGCCGUAAGAC